AGUAGGGAAUUUUCGGCAAUGGGGGAAACCCUGACCGAGCAACGCCGCGUGAGUGAAGACGGCCUUCGGGUUGUAAAGCUCUGUUGUAAGGGAAGAACGAUAGGAAGAGGGAAUGCUUUCUAUAUGACGGUACCUUACCAGAAAGCCACGGCUAACUACGUGCCAGCAGCCGCGGUAAUACGUAGGUGGCAAGCGUUAUCCGGAAUUAUUGGGCGUAAAGGGAGCGCAGGCGGUUUAUCAAGUUUAUGGUUAAAGUUCGGGGCUUAACCCCGUGAUGCCAUAGAAACUGGUAGACUAGAGUGCAGGAGAGGUUAGUGGAAUUCCAUGUGUAGCGGUAAAAUGCGUAGAUAUAUGGAGGAACACCAGUGGCGAAGGCGGCUAACUGGCCUGUAACUGACGCUGAGGCUCGAAAGCGUGGGGAGCAAAUAGGAUUAGAUACCCUAGUAGUCCACGCCGUAAACGAUGGAUACUAAGUGUUGGAGAAAUUCAGUGCUGUAGUUAACGCAAUAAGUAUCCCGCCUGGGGAGUAUGCGCGCAAGCGUAAAACUCAAA
rnacentral:rRNA from 1 species